UCCGGUUGAUCCUGCCAGAGGUUACUGCUAUCGGUGUUCGCCUAAGCCAUGCGAGUCAUAUGUAGCAAUACAUGGCGUACUGCUCAGUAACACGUGGAUAACCUGCCCUUGGGUCCGGCAUAACCCCGGGAAACUGGGGAUAAUUCCGGAUAACUCGUAUGUGCUGGAAUGCUUUACGAGUGAAAUGGAUUCGUCUGCCCAAGGAUGGGUCUGCGGCCUAUCAGGUAGUAGUGGGUGUAAUGUACCUACUAGCCUACGACGGGUACGGGUUGUGAGAGCAAGAGCCCGGAGAUGGAUUCUGAGACAUGAAUCCAGGCCCUACGGGGCGCAGCAGGCGCGAAAACUUUACAAUGCGGGAAACCGUGGUAAGGGGACACCGAGUGCCAGCAUCAUAUGCUGGCUGUCCAGGUGUGCAAAAUACACCUGUUAGCAAGGGCCGGGCAAGACCGGUGCCAGCCGCCGCGGUAACACCGGCGGCCCGAGUGGUGAUCGUGAUUAUUGGGUCUAAAGGGUCCGUAGCCGGUUUGGUCAGUCCUCCGGGAAAUCUGACAGCUCAACUGUUAGGCUUUCGGAGGAUACUGCCAGACUUGGAGCCGGGAGAGGUAAGAGGUACUACAGGGGUAGGAGUGAAGUCUUGUAAUCCCUGUGGGACCACCUGUGGCGAAGGCGUCUUACCAGAACGGGUUCGACGGUGAGGGACGAAAGCUGGGGGCACGAACCGGAUUAGAUACCCGGGUAGUCCCAGCCGUAAACGAUGCUCGCUAGGUGUCAGGCAUGGCGCGACCGUGUCUGGUGCCGCAGGGAAGCCGUGAAGCGAGCCACCUGGGAAGUACGGCCACAAGGCUGAAACUUAAAGGAAUUGGCGGGGGAGCACAACAACGGGUGGAGCCUGCGGUUUAAUUGGAGUCAACGCCGGG
rnacentral:rRNA from 1 species